AUUGAAAGCUGGCGGAAGGCCUAACACCUGCAAGUCGAGCGGAGAGGGGGACGGGUGAGGAAUGCAUAGGAAUCUGCCUGGUAGUGGGGGAUAACGGAGGGAAACGGGCGCUAAUACCGCAUACUAUCAGAUGAGCCUAAGUCUGAUUAGCUAGUUGGUGGGGUAAAGGCCUACCAAGGCGACGAUCCGUAACUGGUCUGAGGGGAUGAUCAGUCCCACGGGAACUGAUCCACGGUCCAGCCUCCUACGGGAGGCAGCAGUGGGGAAUAUUGGACAAUGGUCGAAAGCCUGAUCCAGCCAUGCCGCGUGUGUGAAGAAGGUCUUCGGAUUGUAUAGCACUUUAAGUUGGGAGGCGUUACCAACAGAAUAAUCACCGGCUAACUUCGUGCCAGCAGCCGCGGUAAUAC
rnacentral:rRNA from 1 species